CCAUGACUCUACCCGCGAGAGCCGAGAGCUUUCCUCGUCCUCAUGCUUGCAAAGCGCACGGCCUCGCCGCCACUGCCUCCGCCGCCACAAAAUCAUAUAAGAUUUCUCCAUCUAAUCUAGGCUAGCGAAUUAUCUUUCUCAAUCCCACGACUUACUUCGUGGUUCGCGUCUCCCUAGAUCCCUUCCUCCGAUCGGCAGCGCAUGGCAGACGAGGACUCUGUGGAAGGCAUGGAGGAGGGUCAGGGGGCCGGGCCAAGGCGGUUACGAAAGAGACGUCGGCGUCCUCGACAUCUUCCACCUCUAAGCUGACAGCAGAGACAGGGGCCAAGCAGAUCCAAGCAGGUCCCUCGUGUGGAGCGGAUCUGACGGAGUCGCAACUGCAACAUUGAAAAAUGGAGGAGGGCAGCGCAGGAGGUGUCGAUUGACGAAUGUACGAGUGGAUCAUGCGACAAGCCUGUGCAGAUCAGCAUGUCGGUGGACCAUCGGUAAAUCCUUUCCCUGCUUGUGCAAGUGGCUGUUAAAAUAUUUGUUUUUAUUUUACUGAGUAGUGAUUCGUGAAUUUCAUCACAUGGCUGCCAACAUUAUUUAGAUGAUUUCAGGAGAAUAUAUCUCAGUUACAAAUACAAGUAAUUUGAAGCAAACAUGUAUAUACUCUAAAUUGGAUUACUGCAGGAAAAUUAAACUACAAAAGUACAAGGUUCAUAUAUGCUAAUAAACUCUAAUAUUGUUGCUGACUACCAAAUCUCUGCCACAUUUGCUCAAUCAGAUCUUGCUUGAGAUGCCGAUGGGUUGCUCGAUCACGAAUAUCCCUAUUUUUUUAAGACCUCUGUGAAUCCACAGAUCGGUCCCUAAUCAAGCUCUGUUAUUUGAGCAGAAAAUUGCCCUUGUUCAUAUGUAUUAUCAUCAGGUAUCACAUAAGAGCCCUUCUCAUCCUCAACGAUCAUGUUAUGCAAAAUAAUACAUGCAUACAUUAUAUCGGCAAGCUCUUGCCUUUCCUAAAGACGUGCUGUCGAUGUAUUAUGGUCCAACAUUUCUGUAAAACCCCAAAAGCUCGCUCGACAUCUUUUCUUGCUGAUUCUUGACGCUGCGCAUACAAUUUAUGCUUCUGACUUUGGGGCCUAGUGAUUGAUUUGGCGAAUGCUGACCACUCAGGAUAAAUACCAUCAGUUAGAUAAUAUCCCAUGUUGUAAUUGUUCUCAUUAACACUAAACUGAACGGUAGGUGCUCUUCCUUGUACCACAUCAGUGGACUGAUCCAACACAUUGAUGUUGUUGUUUGAACCGGCAUCACAAAAAAUGCAUGCCAAAUCCAAUUGUCAGCAGAUGCAAUUGCUUCAAGCAUGAAGGGACUCCAUAAUCACCACGGGUGAAUUGUGACUUCCAUGCAACUGGGCAAUUUUGCCAUUUCUAAUGCAUGCAAUCAACACUGCCCAACAUACCUGGAAAUCCAUGUAUCUCUCCAAACUGAAGUAAACGUUGAAUAUCCUCUUCAGUAGGCCUGCGAAGAUAGCGUUGUCCAUAAAUAUGCCUCACACCUUGAACAAAAUAGAUCAUGCAUUCCAUUACCAUGCUUUCAGCUAUACCAAAAGACUCAUCCAUAAGAUCAGCCGGUGUUCCAUAUGCCAACAUUCGAAUUGCAGCAGUGCAUUUCUGCAAUGGUGAUAGACCCACCUUGCCAAAGGCAUCUCUUCUGAGACGAAAAAAGGAGACCAAACAACAAGAGUUUCUACAAUGCGCAAAAAUAAAUACUUCCUCAUGCGAAAUCUUCUACGGAACUGAUUAUCGGUGUAUAAAGGAUUGCUUGAAAAAUAUUUAGCAAACAACAUGUUAUGGUCUUCUUUCGUGAUCUCUAUUUAUGUACCUCCAUUUGUUGCGCCCACUUUGAUUAGAGGUACCAGCUAGUCUUGCCUGCAAUCGCUUCAAGUUGACCUUCAAGAUGAGCUUGUAGUUGAGCCUCAAUAGUGUCCUUAAUUUCUUCCCACAUCAUCUUUUCAAGCUUCUCACUAGAGAUAGACUCAUCAGAAUGAUUAGAGUGAUCUUGUGACUCAUCAGAAUGGCUAGAGUUAUCUUGUGACGCAAUAGACAUCUUUCUUUUUGGAGCUUGGUUGGUCUGCUGAGAAGAGAAGUAAAGGAAAUGAAUGUAAGUGUUGUUACUGAACUGCAGCUCAUAUUUGUAGGUGAUUUUAUCCCAACGACUACUUUUCAACAGCUAUGACUUGCUUUUGUCUGUAUUCCAAUGUAUUCCAACAGCUAGUUUGCAACAGCUAUGUUUUGCUUUUAUCUAUAUCGCCAACAGCUAGUUUGCAAUAGCUGUCUUGCAUUUGUCUAUAUUCCCAACAACUAGUUUGCAACAGCUAUGUCUUUGAUUUUCUCCACAUACCAACAGCUAGCAUUAUAUUUAUAUUACCAUGGUACAAAUAGUGAUACAAUACAAGAACUAGCACUAGGGCUAAAAUACAGAACUCUAAUAUUAAAGGCACAUUCUAUGCAUACAUCAACUGGUGGCACGGUAACCACCAGGGUCCACGAAUUGGGUCUAUUCUCUCCGUGCGCCGCUGCCGUGACGGGCAGGCCGCAAAGAGUUCCACGCCUCCCACAGCUGUGUGUUCUGAGGUGCGUUUGGUUCGUUGCCUAACUCGUCGUAGCCUAACCUUAGACGCGCCACACCACCGGAGGCAUGUGUUUGAUGAAUGGCUAAACUUAGGCAGCCACACUUUUUUAGACAUGAUUCCAUCAACAUGCCAUAUAAUUUUCAUGCCGCACUUGCGGCGUUCGAUUUGAACGCCGCACUUAUGGCACCAUGCUAAUCUUAAGGCGUGGCGCCUUCCUAGCAACCCAAACAUGCUCCUCAUCCCGCGCCGCCCCUGCCGCGGCCGUGCCCGCCUCACGAGUCAUGUUCUCCUACACCCCUCCACCAUCUGCCGCCGCCGCCUCCGCGCCCUACGUGGCCAACAACCACGGCGAGCGGGUGGUCCACGGGAGCCCGCUGGCUUCAUCUGGCUCUAAGAUAAGCUCUUCCUCUUCCUUUCUACUACUGUCCCUUUCUCCUUUAUUUCCUUCUUUCACUUUUUUCUGUGAUUUGUUGGUGGUUCCGUUCUUUGGCUGCUCCUGUGUGCUCGAACAUUGAUUUCGGCGCUAGGCUCGCCCGGGUUUACAAAGUAUGCUUCAUGCCCGUAUCAUUGGACGCUUAGAUCGAGUUUUCGCCCUUUCGAUUUUGUUUCUGCUCAUGCAGCACUUCCUCCCCCCUCUCUUUCUUCUAUGUUCUCUUCUUUAUAACGGCAUCUUCACAUUCAGAUUGGUUUUGUAUUUUUCCAAUUGAUCUAACGAUACUGUCGCUGCUUGCUUCAUGUCCCCUCUUCCUUCUUUGUCUUCUUCCUUGCAGCGUUUGCAACUUAGCUGUACAAUAUUUCUGAGCACAUAUGUUGAUUAGCUCGAUUUGCCUGUUGAAUACGUGGCCAUGCCUUAAGAUUUGAUUUCUUUCUUUCUUUGAUUUCAAUCUCGAUUUGAUAUGGGGCUUCUCAUGGUGCCUUCUUCCUUUUUCUCUUUAGCAAUUUUCCAAAGAUUUAUCCUCUUACCUGAUGUUUUCCACCAUUGGAUCUGUACCCUCUGUAAAACAGAUGAUGUGAAAUCUGGAUUUGCUGGUGCAGCCCAAUCUGAAUAGAAGCUGAAUUUUUUCCGCAGGUGCGGAUGGAAUUGAGAUUUGUAUGAUUCCAGUUUCAUGAACCUCAUCUGUUUUGUUCAAUCCUACAUUAAAAUUUGCUUGCUAAGUUUGCUGUAGGACACGGUGUCUGCAACAAACCACCUAUUCCAAAGUUGUAAAUACAAAACAAAAUUCAUAUUGGUCUCAGCCCUGCUAACUGGAGUAUAUCUGGAACACCUUUAGCUUGGUAAGUUCUACUUACUCCAUGCAUAUCUAUGUAGGACCAUUAACUGCUACUACUUUUUUUUGCCUUUUCCUUUAGAAAAAAUAUUGUUGUGUUCUUUUAUAUCAAAUGACAUCAACGUAGCUUGUGAUAUGGAUGUAAGAUGGUCUAGGCUUGGUGUUCUUCAGAUCUAUAAAAUAUUUAUAGGGAGAGCUUAUAUAACUAUAUGGUUGCAUACUAAGAGCUCAUAUGAUUUUAAAUUAUUAAACGUUCCAAUAUCAUUAUUCCCAAAUAAGCUAACUGCAUCUAGAGUUAACGAGAUUCAAGAAUCCAUUCAUGGUGGAGAAGCUCAACUCUGGUUGCCCAGGUCUUGAAAGCUUGGGUUUUAUCGUGUUGCACAGUUGGCCCAUUCAAUAUUUCUAUUCUCCACAUAAAAGUACAUUGAAUUGGAAAUUAGAGCAUGUUGCAGGACUUGCAGCCAGAAUUUGAGUAGCACUUCUGUCCUUUUUUCCUUCGUUUUUAAAUUUACUGUUCAAUUUGUUGUUCAAAACUUAAGCUAUUCGCUGUCUUUUAAACUAUUCAUUUAUGUUUUGAUGAUACUUUAUAAUAUAUCUUAAUACUAAUGAACCAAUUUUGCCAAGGUAAAACAUCACAAACCUUCAUAGUAUUAACUGAGGGCUUAAAACUGCCUGCACUCAUGUAGAAUUGAUAUCCGGUUAAGGAAGAGAAAGAAGAAACAUCAGAGUGCAGGCUCCAUUCUUAAACAAUACAAUAGACGCAUUAUUCAGGUAACUCUUUACCAAAGGAAGAGAACUUUAGUAAUGCUGCCUCAUCCUUUGAAUUGGGACUUCGGGAGUGAUUGGACUUUUAGGAUGGGGAUGUUUCGAACAAUUCGUUUAGUAGCAUUACAUGAUUACCAAAUUAUGCACUACCAUUACUACUACUUCAUGACUCUUGAAACAUCGUUCAAACCUAUACCAUGCAUGUGAAAAGUAUUGCCCACAAUUGAAAGGAAUUGAUUAAAAAAUUAAUGCCUCUCUACCCAUGUGAACUCAUUACUCAUGAAUCCUUCCUUUUGACCUUUUCUCUCUACUGCACAUGGUUUUGACUAUAACCUCUCCCAACAGACAAAAACGUACACUGCAAUGUCAGUUAAUGAAGACCAUCCCCAUACCAAGUGUGAAGGCAUUAAAAAAAAUCUAUCCCCUCUCAUGUGCAAACUCUCCUCAAGAAGAAUCCAGAUCCUCUCUCUCAUGCAGCUUCAGUAGCCCCUAUUCAAAUAUGAACACAAAGGAAAGAAAUAUAUCCUUUCUAAUUCGACUGACAAAACAAUAGCUGAUAAUGUCAGUAAAUAGCAGCCCCGCUCCAAGUGAGAAAGCAUUGAAAACAUCUACCUUCUCUCCCGUAUAAAUUCCCUUCAAGAAGUAUCUAGGUUCUUUGCUUCACCCAAAAGCAUCUUGACCUUGCAUGUGUCAUACAGUUUAAUUGUAAGCUGUACGGACACAAGUGGUGUUGCACCUUUUUUACAGGCAUCAAACUGGAGAGCUCCUAUUUGAAAGGAAAAUCUUCAUUGCCCUUACCUCAGGUGCUGUGAUUUGGAUAUUUGAUUUGGAUAUUUGUAUUCUGGAUGUGUAUGCCGAGCACUAGAAGCUCCAUGCAAUUCAGAAUUCAGAAUCCUCUUUUAUUACAGCUUCUCUCACGAAUAGUAAUAUUUUGUAUAAACCAUAUGAGAGUAGCUUGGCACAAUACUGCACCUGCCUUGGAAAGCUACUGGUCUCAAGUCAGAAAAAUGAUAUUCACGUCAAGAACUUCCAACAGCUAGCCGAACGCCAGGAUAGCAAGAAAGAAAUUAUGCAAACUUAGUACAAACCACCUCCAUGGACGUACGACUCACCAUUCUCCAUCUAAUUCCUAAGUAUUGAAUGACAUACUCACAAAACCAUUUUGCUAGUAAUAAUGUCAGUUGUUUCGGCGACAAAUUUUGCAGGUAUCCUAAUAUCCAUGUACAUUCCUAACUCAACAGCUACAAAAUCCAAAAAAUAGUUAAAUAAUUUUUGGACUCACCAUUCUCCAUCUAAUUCCUAAGUAUUUCAAUAUGCUCAUUCAUAUUUAAUUACAUGAAUCACAUACUCACAAAACCAUUUUGCUAAUAAUAAUGUCUGUGUUGUUUCGGUGACAAAUUGCAGGUAUCCUAAUAUCCAGGUACGUUCCUAACUCAACAGCUACAAAAUCCAAAAAAAUAGUUAAAUAAUUUUAAGAACCUUUUUCCUUAAUUGCAUUACUAAUGUAUCUUCCAUACAACUUUUACAGGACAUCUACACUUCUUUUGGGAAGAAGACUGUCCCUUCCAAGUCACAUAUAGCUAGAUUGCAGUACAACCUGGCUAUGUAAUGUACAUUUUUGCACUCAAUUUUAGACUAUGUAAUGUUAAAUCACCUUAGCAAGAUGUCCUCUAUUUUGUUGUAA